UACGUAGGGGCCAAGCGUUGUCCGGAUUUAUUGGGCGUAAAGCGCGCGUAGGUGGCCCGGUAAGUCCGCUCUGAAAGUCACAGGCUCAACCUGUGAAAGCGGGUGGAAACUGUCGGACUAGAGUACGGAAGAGGCGAGUGGAAUUCCUGGUGUAGCGGUGAAAUGCGCAGAUAUCAGGAGGAACACCGAUUGCGAAGGCAGCUCGCUGGGACGUUACUGACGCUGAGACGCGAAAGCGUGGGGAGCAAACAGG
rnacentral:rRNA from 1 species